rnacentral:rRNA from 1 species
CCUACGGGAGGCAGCAGUGAGGAAUAUUGGUCAAUGGACGAGAGUCUGAACCAGCCAAGUAGCGUGAAGGAUGACUGCCCUAUGGGUUGUAAACUUCUUUUAUAUGGGAAUAAAACGUUCCACGUGUGGGAUUUUGUAUGUACCAUAUGAAUAAGGAUCGGCUAACUCCGUGCCAGCAGCCGCGGUAAUACGGAGGAUCCGAGCGUUAUCCGGAUUUAUUGGGUUUAAAGGGAGCGUAGGUGGAUUGUUAAGUCAGUGGUGAAAGUUUGCGGCUCAACCGUAAAAUUGCAGUUGAAACUGGCAGUCUUGAGUACAGUAGAGGUGGGCGGAAUUCGUGGUGUAGCGGUGAAAUGCUUAGAUAUCACGAAGAACUCCGAUUGCGAAGGCAGUUCACUGGACUGCAACUGACACUGAGGCUCGAAAGUGUGGGUAUCAAACAGGAUUAGAUACCCUUGUAGUC